GCUGUGGUGACAGUUCAGUGCCGAAGGCAACAGGCAAAGACACUUAACGAGAGACCAGACAAAUAAUCUGCAGAUACCAUGGAUUCCAUCCAUCUGAACCCUUAUGCUGCACAAUGACUUCACGUGGCGUGCGAUUGGUCAGCUACCAGUUUCAGAGAGAGUGAACACCCGGCGCAUGUGAUCCACUGCACUUGUAGAUUUCUUCAUCCGCCCCUCCUGCACGGCACUGGACUGGCCUGAUCUACCUACAACAUUACUGGAUCCUCAGCUGAUGCGCUAUCCUUGCACUAUUGCACUGCUAAUAUUGCAGUGAGGUGCACGAAACAAUGUUUCAAGUGUACAAGUUGGAUCUGCUCGUCCAAAUUGCCAGUUUCCUCCUUGUGAUACCUGAGUCGCUGUCAAGUGGAUUUUAAGAAGAAACCGUGUGAGCAACCUCUCAACCCAUCGUGCACCUAAAAGAAAAUGGAUGGAAACCGAAAUGAAACUGGGAGGGUGGGACCGGGAAUAAAGAGUUUUAAAUCGCGGGGGAACGGAUGGGAGCGGAACUGAAGGCUGCGCGAAGAAGAGUCCAGAACCAAACUUAAGUUUGUCAGACAAGAACUUAGAUGUUGUAAUAGUAAACCAAUUAGUGAUGUCACUGGCCCGCCCUUCAAUUCGACCCCACUGCAGCUUGCUAUCGUUGAUUGCAACAAACAUUUACAGUAAAACUGUAAAAAACCUCAACAAAUUCUAAAUAUGUCAAAAUCAGAAAAUCAUUGGAUUAAUUCAACUUAUUGGGAGUUCAAGAAGAAGUGAAACUCAAGGCUGUGGCUCUCAAGUUUUUUUUUUUUUUUUCUGUUAUCAACACGCAUAAUGAAAUGGAUGCUGUAGGUUUGUGUGGUUCUUGCUAUUCUUCUAGGUAAUAUGGCAGUAGUGAAUGACAUUUCAAAAAUUCAAUUGGUUACAGGAUGAGAAUGAAAAACACAAGAAAUAAGACCAAAUAAUAGCCUGCCUGAAAGAUAUGUCAUACAGCGAGAGGUUAAAAGAAACCAAUGUCUUCUCUUUUUCUAAAACGGGAUGGGACAGGAUAUUUUUUGACAAGACGGGAAGGGACGGGAUUGCAAAAAACAUACUUACGGAACAGUACAGGAUGGGAAAAGAUCUGGUGGGACAGGAUGGGGACAAAAAUUACAUUGAAACGUUUUUCACAAGAUGGGAUGGGAUGGGACAGGAAAAUGUCUGAUGGGGCAGGAUGGGAUGGAGCUCAAGUUUGACUCUCUGAUGCAAAACACAGAGACAGCACUGCGUUGUGUCUCUACUUUCUUUAACCUUCAGAAUGUUAUAUGAUCGCAAUAAUUAUAACCAAUUAUCCGCAAGGAUGAUGUCACCACUUCAACUGGCCGUACGGUGAUUUUUGAAUAAUCAUAGUUAUAUUUAACAGAAUAUAGCAGCAUAUUUAUUAAAAAUACAGUAAUAUAUCAUUUGGUAUUCUUGUGUAUAAUGUAGCUGCACUGAGUUCAGGCCUCCCAGAAUUCCCAAUAAUAACCCCAGGAGGCUGUGGUUGAUUACUUCAAGGAUGUGAGCGCAGAUAGUAACCCAGUUAAUUCCCAGUUACCAGAAACGAGAUGCAAGAUAUAAUGUAAACAGUGGUGAUUAUACUGGAAAAUUGUUGGACUAGCGCUAUUCCGGUAAUUUUCAAAGAAUUCUCCUUUAAAAGCAUUCAGUGUUCUUAGGAACAGUAUCACAGUAUUGCCAAAUUAAUUGUUGUAUCCUCUAUUACUGUAAAAGGACUGCUGUUCAGAAAACUGCAUCCUGAUUUGGUCUGUAACCAUCUGCAUUAUAAUACUGGGGUCUGUUUUUCAGGAGAUGUGAGUAUUUUUAAGCAGUUUUUAGCAGACCUUGUUAAUUCAGAUACAUUUCAGAAUACAGGUAAGAUGACUACCAUAAGUUGCACUGUAGUCAUUAUUCACUGAUGUUUGCGAUAUGCAUUUAGCACACAAUUUUUGUGAGGGUAGAAAUC